UUGUUAUUGGCUUCUACUUCCUACUUCCUACUAUAUUAUUAUUUGGAAGCAUAUCCUACAUAUACAGAAUAAAUAUAUAAUCUCAUCCAUUUUAAAUGGACUUUAGUUCAUGAACGGUGAAUCCAUACACGUGCAACAUGACACAGAUUGCGUAGCAAAACAGAACAGGCCUAGCUGUAUACUACCUAUUGUCAUCAACAGUUUGGCACACAAGGAGACACAACAAGGUACUCUUCUUUUAAGCUCAUCAAAUUCAGCAGUUUGGCCUACACACACACGCAAGGUACAUCAUCAAAAAGUUAAUUUUCUUCCCAAACCAUACAUUUGAGAUGGAAAGUGCAUGAUUUUGUUCACUUUGGCUCUUUACGAUGGUCAUUAGUCACAAGCACCAAGAUUCCUUAUUUUCUUUCCAAGUCUCCUAGCGUCAACAUACUGCUCAUAUCAAGUAAUGUUAUUCACAAAGCCAUCAUGAAGAACUUACAUAUGUUCAUUGUUUCAACACAUAAUUUAACUUAGUCAAUUUCUUGAUUGUCCAACUACUGCAGCACAAAGGAUAAUUCGAUACAUCAAAAUUUCACCAGCUGAGGGUCUUUGUUUUCAGCUAGCACUGACACUAAACUCAAAAAGGUUUAGUGAUUCAGACUGGGGAACAUGUUUGGAUACCAGAAGGUCAAUCACGGGUUUUUUUUUCUUGGAUUUUCACUGGCUUCUUGGAAAAGCAAGAAACAACCUACUAUAUCUAAAUCCUCUUCGGAGAUAUUAGAUGAGUUUGAUGCUUAAGGGAGAAGGAAACAAAAAAAAAAAAAAAUCGUGAGUUCAAUUUUCUUUGCUAACAAAACUAACACUCAGACAAAUUAAUAUUAGCUGAUAAAAAAAAUCUAAGUCCUCCUCGGAAGCAGAGUACAGGAUCUUAGUUCAAAUCGUAUGUGAAUUGCACAAUGGUUGACAAUGAGUAAGCUGUAAUAUGUAUAGAGUGUAAAGCAACUUUGGCAGCAAGGCCUUUUAGGGAUAUUCAAUCCAAGCUUGGAAUGUUCAAUAUACACAUUCCAACUUGAGGGGGGUUUUAUGCCAGCUGUACAAUUCUAUUUAUUUUUGUUAGUAUUUAUUAGUCAGUUAUGAUUAUUGAUAGCAAAUGUAGUAUAAAUAGCUUUUACGUUUUUGUUUUUUUUUUCAAGCUUUCAAUUGAGUGUUGUUUUUCUCU